rnacentral:lncRNA from 1 species
CCUCGGGGUCAGCCUGAUUGUACUCAUCAAAGCGGUUGCUUCUCCGACUUCAUUUCUUCCUAAUUCAUGUGUCAGUGGUUACUUUUUUUCGGUGCCUUUUUCUCCUUCUUUCUUGCCAUUUGCCAUUCAUGUGGUUGCCCGAUUGUCAUACACUUUUGUAUUCCCAUCUACUCUCUCUAUCUCGGUCUCCCUCGACCUUCAAACAAGACUCUUCCUCUCUUGCUCUCCCUAUCUCAAACGAUGACCAGAUCUAUCAUUUUAUCUACACGUUUUUCUUUCUUCUUUUCUUUUCUUUGUUAAUCAACAAAAAGAAGAAAACAAAGAAGCCAUUUUGAUGUUUUUUUGUUUAGUUUUUGUUUCUUUCUUUGUUUUCUUGAACUUGCAGUUACUCACAAUCACAUUUUGCUUCUCAUAGAUUGAGGACAAUGGAUUGAAAGUCCACAAGAAGAAGAAAAAGAAUCAACUUUCUAGGUUGUGCUAUUUUCUUUAAUUUAUUUUUCAGUCUUUUUCCCAAUUUUACUCUAGAUUGGACCUUCAAAUUUUUGUAAGAAAAGUUUUUGAUUUCUGAUAUUUAGUACUUUAGUUUUGCUGCUGUUAACGAUCUCAUUUCUGGUAUAUAUUGGAUAGAUAGGGAUCUCAUUUUUCUUCUAAUAGAUUGAGGGGAAAAUGGAAGAAAAACCGAUGGGAAGAAGAAAAAAAGAUUUAACUUUUCAAGGUUUGAAUUUUUCUGUAGUUUAUUUUCCAA